rnacentral:rRNA from 1 species
CCUACGGGAGACAGCAGUGAGGAAUAUUGGUCAAUGGCCGGAAGGCUGAACCAGCCAAGCCGCGUGAAGGACGAAGGUGCCAAGCAUUGUAAACUCUUUUUGUCAAGGGACAACAUCAGGCUCGAGAGCCUGAACGAGGGUACUUGAAGAAAAAGCAUCGGCUAACUCCGUUCCAGCAGCCGCGGUAAUACGGAGGAUGCGAGCGUUAUCCGGAUUUACUGGGUGUAAAGGGAGCGUAGACGGCAGCACAAGUCUGGAGUGAAAUGCCGGGGCUUAACCCCGGAACUGCUUUGGAAACUGGGCAGCUAGAGUGCAGGAGAGGUAAGUGGAAUUCCGAGUGUAGCGGUGAAAUGCGUAGAUAUUAGGAGGAACACCAGUGGCGAAGGCGGCUUACUGGACUGUAACUGACGUUGAGGCUCGAAAGCGUGGGGAGCAAACAGGAUUAGAUACCCGUGUAGUC